rnacentral:rRNA from 1 species
UUCGCAAUGCCCGAAAGGGUGACGAAGCGACGCCGCGUGUGGGAAGAAGGCCUUCGGGUUGUAAACCACUGUCGGGAGUUAAGAAGUGUAGUGAUGUUAAUAGCAUCGCUACUUGACUAAGGCUCCGGAGGAAGCCACGGCUAACUCUGUGCCAGCAGCCGCGGUAAUACAGAGGCGGCAAGCGUUGUUCGGAAUUAUUGGGCGUAAAGAGCACGUAGGCGGCCUUGCAAGUCAGUUGUGAAGGCCUUCUGCUUAACGGAAGAACAGCAGCUGAUACUGCAAGGCUAGAGUGCGGAAGGGGAGAGUGGAACUUCUGGUGGAGCGGUGAAAUGCGUAGAUAUCAGAAGGAACGCCGGCGGCGAAAGCGACUCUCUGGCCCGAAACUGACGCUGAGUGUGCGAAAGCUAGGGGAGCAAACGGGAUUAGAUACCCCGGUAGUCCUAGCCGUAAACGAUGGGCACUAAGUAGAGGGGUUUU